rnacentral:rRNA from 1 species
UGGGGAAUUUCGGACAAUGGGCGCAAGCCUGAUCCAGCAAUGCCGCGUGCAGGAUGAAGGCCUUCGGGUUGUAAACUGCUUUUGUACGGAACGAAACGGCUCUGUCUAAUACAUGGGGCUAAUGACGGUACCGUAAGAAUAAGCACCGGCUAACUACGUGCCAGCAGCCGCGGUAAUACGUAGGGUGCAAGCGUUAAUCGGAAUUACUUGGCGUAAAGCGUGCGCGGGCGGUCUUGUAAGACAGUCGUGAAAGCCCCGGGCUUAACCUGGGAACUGCGAUUGUGACUGCAAGGCUAGAGUGUGUCAGAGGGGGGUGGAAUUCCACGUGUAGCAGUGAAAGGCGUAGAUAUGCGGAGGAACACCGAUGGCGAAGGCAAUCCCCUGGACCUGUACUGACGCUCAUGCACGAAAGCGUGGGGAGCAAACA